rnacentral:rRNA from 1 species
AGAGUUUGAUCAUGGCUCAGGACGAACGCUGGCGGCGUGCUUAACACAUGCAAGUCGAGCGGUAAGGCCCUUCGGGGUACACGAGCGGCGAACGGGUGAGUAACACGUGGGUGAUCUACCUCGCACUUCGGGAUAAGCCUGGGAAACUGGGUCUAAUACCGGAUAUGAUCAAGAGUCGCAUGGUUUUUGGUGGAAAGAUUUAUCGGUGCGAGAUGGGCCCGCGGCCUAUCAGCUUGUUGGUGGGGUAACGGCCUACCAAGGCGACGACGGGUAGCCGACCUGAGAGGGUGACCGGCCACACUGGGACUGAGACACGGCCCAGACUCCUACGGGAGGCAGCAGUGGGGAAUAUUGCACAAUGGGCGAAAGCCUGAUGCAGCGACGCCGCGUGAGGGAUGACGGCCUUCGGGUUGUAAACCUCUUUCGACAGGGACGAAGCGUGAGUGACGGUACCUGUAGAAGAAGCACCGGCCAACUACGUGCCAGCAGCCGCGGUAAUACGUAGGGUGCGAGCGUUGUCCGGAAUUACUGGGCGUAAAGAGCUUGUAGGCGGUUUGUCGCGUCGUCUGUGAAAACUCACAGCUCAACUGUGAGCUUGCAGGCGAUACGGGCAGACUUGAGUACUUCAGGGGAGACUGGAAUUCC